GAAAAAGUAAGAAGGGUGAUAUACAAAUCCCACUCUGCGCAGUAAGUUCAGAGACUCCCACUAGAAAAAUCUUAGACUGCAGAAGCCAGCAGUAAAUGCCUAUGGAAGAGUACAAGAACAGACCCACAAAGUGUGGAGACUGAAGAAUACCCUGGUGAUCCAGCUUCACUCCCUACAUCAUGGUCUCACAGGCAAGCGUGCUAAACUUCAGGAUACUUUCUGUCUUAUGUCAAGAUGACCACCUCAUCCUUGGGCAACUUUCUGUGAAGGGAGCCCCAUUGUUGAGGGACAGCGACCUGAUGUCCUCGACAGAUUUAAUACACUGAUAGUCUGUGCUGUGGUACUGCAUGAUCAGGAUUUUCUGAGCAAUUUUGUCAUCCUCUUCAGCUGCCAUCUUCACUAAAUGAUAAAAGGAACAUCAGGAUAUGUAGGCCCGAAGAAGAAAUGAAAAAUAUAAUCCAGGUUCUGCUGCAAUAAAGAAAUAACAGGGCAUAAUAUGGAAUAGUUUCUGAACACUCAUUUAUCUGAAUAGCCCACUUAUGUCAAUCAGAUGAGUGAUUAAAAGAAUAAAAAUAAAAACAAUGUUUUUUAGAAUUAAUGUGUUAAUUUGGCUUUUAGACCUCGUUUGUAUCAAUCAAA